ACGAGUGGCGGACGGGUGAGUAACACGUGGGUAACCUGCCCUUAAGUGGGGGAUAACAUUUGGAAACAGAUGCUAAUACCGCAUAAAUCCAAGAACCGCAUGGUUCUUGGCUGAAAGAUGGCGUAAGCUAUCGCUUUUGGAUGGACCCGCGGCGUAUUAGCUAGUUGGUGAGGUAACGGCUCACCAAGGCAAUGAUACGUAGCCGAACUGAGAGGUUGAUCGGCCACAUUGGGACUGAGACACGGCCCAAACUCCUACGGGAGGCAGCAGUAGGGAAUCUUCCACAAUGGACGCAAGUCUGAUGGAGCAACGCCGCGUGAGUGAAGAAGGCUUUCGGGUCGUAAAACUCUGUUGUUGGAGAAGAAUGGUCGGCAGAGUAACUGUUGUCGGCGUGACGGUAUCCAACCAGAAAGCCACGGCUAACUACGUGCCAGCAGCCGCGGUAAUACGUAGGUGGCAAGCGUUAUCCGGAUUUAUUGGGCGUAAAGCGAGCGCAGGCGGUUUUUUAAGUCUGAUGUGAAAGCCCUCGGCUUAACCGAGGAAGUGCAUCGGAAACUGGGAAACUUGAGUGCAGAAGAGGACAGUGGAACUCCAUGUGUAGCGGUGAAAUGCGUAGAUAUAUGGAAGAACACCAGUGGCGAAGGCGGCUGUCUGGUCUGUAACUGACGCUGAGGCUCGAAAGCAUGGGUAGCGAACAGGAUUAGAUACCCUGGUAGUCCAUGCCGUAAACGAUGAAUGCUAGGUGUUGGAGGGUUUCCGCCCUUCAGUGCCGCAGCUAACGCAUUAAGCAUUCCGCCUGGGGAGUACGACCGCAAGGUUGAAACUCAAAGGAAUUGACGGGGGCCCGCACAAGCGGUGGAGCAUGUGGUUUAAUUCGAAGCAACGCGAAGAACCUUACCAGGUCUUGACAUCUUUUGAUCACCUGAGAGAUCAGGUUUCCCCUUCGGGGGCAAAAUGACAGGUGGUGCAUGGUUGUCGUCAGCUCGUGUCGUGAGAUGUUGGGUUAAGUCCCGCAACGAGCGCAACCCUUAUGACUAGUUGCCAGCAUUUAGUUGGGCACUCUAGUAAGACUGCCGGUGACAAACCGGAGGAAGGUGGGGAUGACGUCAAAUCAUCAUGCCCCUUAUGACCUGGGCUACACACGUGCUACAAUGGAUGGUACAACGAGUUGCGAGACCGCGAGGUCAAGCUAAUCUCUUAAAGCCAUUCUCAGUUCGGACUGUAGGCUGCAACUCGCCUACACGAAGUCGGAAUCGCUAGUAAUCGCGGAUCAGCACGCCGCGGUGAAUACGUUCCCGGGCCUUGUACACACCGCCCGUCACACCAUGAGAGUUUGUAACACCCGAAGCCGGUGGCGUAACCCUUUUAGGGAGCGAGCCGUCUAAGGUGGGACAAAUGAUUAGGGUGAAGUCGUAA
rnacentral:rRNA from 1 species